UGGGCAACCUGCCCUCAGCUCUGGGAUAACCCCGGGAAACCGGGGCUAAUACCGGAUACGACCUCCACGGGCAUCUGUGGCGGUGGAAAGGUUUUCCGGCUGAGGAUGGGCCCGCGGCCUAUCAGCUUGUUGGUGGGGUGACGGCCCACCAAGGCGACGACGGGUAGCCGGCCUGAGAGGGCGAUCGGCCACACUGGGACUGAGACACGGUCCAGACUCCUACGGGAGGCA
rnacentral:rRNA from 1 species